UGGCGAUUGGCUAAUGGCGCCGUCAAUCUCCAGGGGAAAGGACUAAGUUUCAGACACCUCGGAAAAAUUACUGUGAGCCCCUUUUUGCUGAAAUGAAAAGUUCUGGAGAAAACCCAAGAGAUUCGGAAGAAAUGCUUUUUGUCUGCAGCAUGAAGCGAUUUAAAAGUACUGGGUGUUCAAUGUGAGCUUCUAAUGAAAUUUGGGCUGAAAGGAUGACUAGAAGAUGACUAUUAAAAUCUCUCCUGUAACCUAGUCUCUGGACCCGGAUCCCUCCUCUCCAGUGAGACUCUUUGAGGACCAAUCGCGAUGCCCUGCACCCACUGCGGAGCCAUUGAGUUGGACAGUGAGGGCGCCACAUCCCUGACAGACAGCAUAGUGCAGCUCUGACAAAGGCCUUAUUUUUCUGAUCAGCACAUUAAAAAAGCCAGCAAGAGAUGCGUUCAGAUCAUGGUGCCUUAUUAUGCAGCUGAUAUCUUGGUAGACAGAGACGGCAUGUCUCUUUACAUGUGCGUUCUGCCUUUAAUUUCCUUGUACAAUUCAUUGUUAUCAUUCUGUUUUUCUAUUAAUCUUUUGUGAACUUCCUGAAUAUGUGACAAAGUAUGUACAGUCUACUUUUGAACUAUUUUUAUUACAGUAUUAUUUACUGCUUUCUUUCAAUAAAGUACUGAAGCAAAAUUUCCCAC
ensembl:lncRNA